GAUAAGUGAGGUGUACUUC
rnacentral:piRNA from 1 species